GAACGUACGCUGGCGGCACGCCUAACACAUGCAAGUCGAACGAAGUAGCAAUACUUAGUGGCAGACGGGUGAGUAACAUGUAGGUAUCUGCCCUUUGGCCUGGAAUAACACGAGGAAACUUGUGCUAAUACCGGAUAAGUCUUUACGGAGAAAGCUUUAUGCACCAUUGGAUGAGCCUGCACUUGAUUAGUUUGUUGGUGGGGUAAUGGCCUACCAAGACUGUGAUCAAUAGCUGAUUUGAGAGGAUGAUCAGCCACAUUGGGACUGAGACACGGCCCAAACUCCUACGGGAGGCAGCAGUGGGGAAUCUUGCACAAUGGAGGAAACUCUGAUGCAGCGAUGCCGCGUGAGUGAAGAAGGCCUUUGGGUUGUAAAGCUCUUUCGUCGGGGAAGAAAAUGACUGUACCCGAAUAAGAAGGUCCGGCUAACUUCGUGCCAGCAGCCGCGGUAAUACGAAGGGACCUAGCGUAGUUCGGAAUUACUGGGCUUAAAGAGUUCGUAGGUGGUUGAAAAAGUUGGUGGUGAAAUCCCAGAGCUUAACUCUGGAACUGCCAUCAAAACUUUUCAGCUAGAGUAUGAUAGAGGAAAGCAGAAUUUCUAGUGUAGAGGUGAAAUUCGUAGAUAUUAGAAAGAAUACCAAUUGCGAAGGCAGCUUUCUGGAUCAUUACUGACACUGAGGAACGAAAGCAUGGGUAGCGAAGAGGAUUAGAUACCCUCGUAGUCCAUGCCGUAAACGAUGUGUGUUAGACGUUGGAAAUUUAUUUUCAGUGUCGCAGCGAAAGCGAUAAACACACCGCCUGGGGAGUACGACCGCAAGGUUAAAACUCAAAUGAAUUGACGGGGACCCGCACAAGUAGUGGAGCAUGUGGUUUAAUUCGAAGAUACGCGCAGAACCUUACCAACACUUGACAUGUUCGUCGCGACUCUAAGAGAUUAGAGUUUUCGGUUCGGCCGGACGAAACACAGGUGCUGCAUGGCUGUCGUCAGCUCGUGUCGUGAGAUGCUGGGUUAAGUCCCGCAACGAGCGCAACCCUCACUUUUAGUUGCCAUCAUUAAGUUGGGCACUCUGAAAGAACUGCCAGUGAUAAGCUGGAGGAAGGUGGGGAUGACGUCAAGUCCUCAUGGCCCUUACGUGUUGGGCUACACACGUGCUACAAUGGUAUCUACAACAGGAAGCAAAACUGCGAAGUUAAGCAAAUCCCUAAAAGAUACCUCAGUUCGGAUUGCACUCUGCAACUCGAGUGCAUGAAGCUGGAAUUACUAGUAAUCGUGGAUCAGCGUGCCACGGUGAAUGCGUUCCCGGGUCUUGUACACACCGC
rnacentral:rRNA from 1 species